rnacentral:rRNA from 1 species
CCCUUAGAUGUUCUGGGCAGCACGCGCGCUACAAUGGUCUUCGCAAACGGAUGCAUUCUCGAAGGAGAAUGCCAAUCUUGGAAUCUAUGCCUUGGUCGGGACAGUUGCUUGCAAUUUUUCGACUCGAACCAGGAAUUCCUUGUAAUCGUGAUUCAUCACAUCACGAUGAAUACGUCCCUGCCCUUUGUACACACCGCCCGUCGCUCCUACCGAUCGAAGAGUUCGGUGAAUUGUUUUGAUCGAUAAGAUUUGACUAUGGUCAACUCUCGUUGUGAAAUUCUGUGAAUCUGACUGUUUAGAGGAAGGAAAAGUCGUAACA